UACGUAGGAGGCGAGCGUUGUCCGGAGUUAUUGGGCGUAAAGAGCUUGUAGGUGGCUCGUUGCGUCGGGAGUGAAAACCUGCGGCUUAACCGCAGGCCUGCUUCCGAUACGGGCGAGCUAGAGUUCGGCAGGGGAGACUGGAAUUCCUGGUGUAGCGGUGGAAUGCGCAGAUAUCAGGAGGAACACCGGUGGCGAAGGCGGGUCUCUGGGCCGAUACUGACACUGAGAAGCGAAAGCGUGGGGAGCGAACAGG
rnacentral:rRNA from 1 species